AGGUACCUUGUUCCCUCAGCCAGGUUCUAUGUUCCUUAAAGUCCUAAUUUUAGUCAGUAAAUAUUUAUGGCAUUUACUCUAUGCCAGACAAUGUUCUAAAUAUUUUAUUUAUACUGAAUUAUUUGGUGUUUACAUCAGCCAUAUGAUUAACUACUGUUUCCAUUUUGCAGAUGAGAACAUUGAAGCACAGAGAAAUUAUGUUAACUUGUCCAGUGCCAAAGAGCUAUUAAGUGGCAGAGCUGGGAUUUACUUCCACUGCACUGUUGCCUCUUUGGUUAGGAGCUCUUUGCUGUGCUGAGAUUGCAGUAUUUAAAGAUAGACACUGCACCAGGAACUGGAGGACAAGGUAGCCAAUUUCUUGCCAUUCUAUUAAGGGAGGAAGAUUUUAAACAAAUAACUACAACAAAAUGUACAGAGUGGCAUGAUCAAAGGAGUACAAGGAGCUAUCAGAGAUGACUAGGAGUUGGCCAGAUGAAGAAAGUGUAGAGGGAAGUGUCUUGAAACCUUUCCCCUGAACAAACCUGAAAGGUAGAAGACCAUGAGAUGACGCCUCUGGGGGACUGGGUAUAUAGCUCAAGGCUGUCCACACAACUGGGAUAUCCUUUCAUUGAGGUUUUAUGCUCUCUUUUUCAUAGCAUUUAUGCUUUUUAUAUUCUACUCUGUAAUAUAUUUAUGUUGGUUUAAAUAUAAAAGUAAUCUUUUAAAUCUAUUUCUAUCAAGAAAAAGGCCAAACCAAAAUGAUUUCCUUCCUACCACAAGGAAUAUGUACUACUUUUACCUCCUGUUGUGUCCCCAGUAGUUCUAAUUCUACCCCAGUUUGAGAGACAUGGCUCUUAUCACCCCAGAUUUUAUCCUUAGAUUAAUCCAGAGCAUGUGAGAAUUGUCUUGGUUUGGACCAAAUAUAUCAGAGCAACUAAAUUAAAUCUGUGGUAGUGUUGAUAGAUGUUUUCAAAUUCAUCGUUACAUACACCAUAGGGAUGCUACUGACAGUUCCAUUGUCAUGCAGUGACCCCUUUAGGAAGACUUGUGGGAAAAAUGAUUUAUCUGAGGACUCUGGAUCAGAAAUAUCUUUAUUCCUCCAAAGUAUAAUGUGGCCCCUUUAACUGAUCAUUCUUCUUUCUUUGCUUUGGCUGCCAGGAGGCUCAAAAGAAAAUUACUGUUUGUUUGUUUGUUUAUUUAUUUAUUUAUUUAUUUAGAGAUGGAGUCUUGCUCUGUCAUCCAGGCUGGAGUCCAGUGGCGUGAUCUCUGCUCACUGCAAGCUCUGCCUCUCGGGUUCAUGCCAUUCUUCUGCCUCAGCCCCCCGAGUAGCUGGGACCACAGGUGCCCGCCACCAUGCCUGGCUAAUUUUUUUGUAUAUUUAGUACAGAUGGGGUUUCACCAUGUUAGCCAGGAUGGUCUUGAUCUCCUGACUUCGUGAUCCACCCACCUCAGCCUCCCAAAGUGCUGGGAUUGCAGGCGUGAGACACCGCACCCAGCCUACCAUUUUAUUUUUAAUCAAUUUGUUGGGGCUUUUACUGUUCAGAGUCUAUCUAGUAAUUUUCCCAUUGUUCUCCUCUC
rnacentral:lncRNA from 10 species